ACAAUAGUUUAAAGACAGCAAAGUUCUCCUACCAUCUUACCAGUCAACUCUGACCUGGAGGGACCAUCUCAAAGGGUGAAAGAGUAAGUUGGUCUCUAUGCCCAUUUAAGCUUUGGUUUAU
rnacentral:sRNA from 1 species